rnacentral:rRNA from 1 species
UACAUGGGGUGCAACCGUUGCUCGGAAUUAUUGGGCGUAAAGCGCACGUAGGUGGUUUGUUAUGUCGGAUGUGAAAGCCCUCGGCUCAACUGAGGAAGUGCAUCCGAAACUGGCAAGCUAGAGUAUGUAAGAGGGUCGCGGAAUUCCCGGUGUAGAGGUGAAAUUCGUAGAUAUCGGGAGGAACACCAGUUGCGAAGGCGGCUGACUGGACCCAUAUUGACGCUGAGGCUCGAAAGCAUGGGGAGCAAACAGG